rnacentral:rRNA from 1 species
UAGGGAAUCUUCCGCAAUGGGCGAAAGCCUGACGGAGCAACGCCGCGUGAGUGAUGAAGGUCUUCGGAUCGUAAAACUCUGUUAUUAGGGAAGCACAAAUGUGUAAGUAACUAUGCACGUCUUGACGGUACCUAAUCAGAAAGCCACGGCUAACUACGUGCCAGCAGCCGCGGUAAUACGUAGGUGGCAAGCGUUAUCCGGAAUUAUUGGGCGUAAAGCGCGCGUAGGCGGUUUUUUAAGUCUGAUGUGAAAGCCCACGGCUCAACCGUGGAGGGUCAUUGGAAACUGGAAAACUUGAGUGCAGAAGAGGAAAGUGGAAUUCCAUGUGUAGCGGUAAAAUGCGCAGAGAUAUGGAGGAACACCAGUGGCGAAGGCGACUUUCUGGUCUGUAACUGACGCUGAUGUGCGAAAGCGUGGGGAUCAAACAGG